AUGGCUCUUACUGAAGACUAGCAGUUAGACUGUAGCUGUUGGUUUCAAGCAGAGGCCUAAAGAACUGUCUUCCCGUGGUUAUCGGCUGUUCUGGAACCUCAGUAGAGAAGGACGAUUCCAUUGGGAAGAAACAGCU
ensembl:snoRNA Snora34 small nucleolar RNA, H/ACA box 34